rnacentral:lncRNA from 10 species
UCCACACUCCGAGCCUAAAUGCGGGCAUUGGCUAUGCCCUCUUACUGGAAGUUCCUCAUCAGCUCCUCCACCAGGCCCACCCUCUGCACAUACUUGACCUGAAUAACUCCAAGUCAUUUCUUACGUCUCUGUUUUAAUGUCACCUCCUCAGGGAAGCCUUCCUUGACUGCUCCUGCCCCUUUCACCUACAGAGGAAGAAAUCAUUAGAGAUGCAGCUGCUUACAUGCAAGAGCAUGUGCACGAAGCCUGGAUACACAGAUGCAUGUGUGCGAGAGAAGGUGUACGGGAUUAGAGAGCUCUGAAUGGCCUCAUAAUAGAAUCCCAGGGGAGGGCCGGAGGUCCCAGGCCAGCGAUGCUCACACGCCCAUCUCCUCCUGUCUGUGCCGCACAAAGCCUGACAAGGCCUCACUCAUGUUUCAAAGCGCUUUCUCUUUUCAGAGCUAUUUGUUAUUGUCUCUGCCAUCACAAGUUUAAAAAAGGAAAGUUAAUUAAAUAUGGAACAAGACUGAGCAACAUCUUUUAAACCAUCAUGUCAUUAGAACUGGAAUCCUUAGAGAGCUGCUUAAAAGGGGUUUGAGAACAAUGACUGUUCAAUCAGAUAUUUAUGGGCAUAGUUAUGUAAACACACUCUUUAUUGUCUAUGUAUAUUUAAUAUAAUUAUCAGUUUUGUAGUUGGACUCUCCAGAGACCCAACAAAUCACAGUGUUGCUUUGAAAAUGUCAGCAGAAAAGACAAUUAUGUUGCUAGCAAAUAUUCAUAAAUUAUAUUAAAAAGUCCUGUGGAAAUGUCCCCAUGUUGCAGAAUCCUUUGCAGGAACUAAAUGAUUCUUGUAUUUCUUUGAU